AAAAAACGCACAUAAUUUCAAAGGGCAUUAGUGGAAUAAACAAUUUUUUUUAACUUGAAUUUUGCAAAGAUGGUUGCCUCGUUUUACAAGUGCAGAAGCU